CCUACGGGAGGCAGCAGUAGGGAAUCUUCCACAAUGGGCGAAAGCCUGAUGGAGCAACGCCGCGUGAGCGAAGAAGGUCUUCGGAUCGUAAAGCUCUGUUGUAAGGGAAGAACAAGUGCAGUAGUAACUGGCUGCACCUUGACGGUACCUUACGAGAAAGCCACGGCUAACUACGUGCCAGCAGCCGCGGUAAU
rnacentral:rRNA from 2 species